GGGAGUAUAGCCCAACUAGGCAGAGGCAUAAGACUAAGAAUCUUAUCAGUAUGAGUUCGAAUCUCAUUACUCCUACCA
rnacentral:tRNA from 1 species